UACGUAGGGUGCAAGCGUUGUCCGGAAUUAUUGGGCGUAAAGAGCUCGUAGGCGGUUUGUCGCGUCUGGUGUGAAAAUCCAGGGCUUAACCCUGGACCUGCAUCGGGUACGGGCAGACUAGAGUGCGGUAGGGGAGAUCGGAAUUCCUGGUGUAGCGGUGAAAUGCGCAGAUAUCGGGAGGAACACCUGUGGCGAAAGCGGCGCACUGGACCACUUCUGACGCUGAGGCGCGAAAGCUAGGGGAGCAAACAGG
rnacentral:rRNA from 1 species